rnacentral:lncRNA from 1 species
UAUAUGUUGAGUUUCCAAGUGAAUUGUCAAUACCUAAUUCGUUAAUCAAGCAGUUAAUGUAAUGAGUUUUACACACAAAAACGAUGUUGUUUGGGCUUUAUCUGCGGGGACAACAACAUAUUUGUCAUGGAGGUAGGAUAGGUGUUUUGCAACAUUUGGGUCUUUAAAGAUUGACGUAGCAUGGGCAUUGAUAGACCCAUUCAGUUUCUUAAUUCUG